rnacentral:rRNA from 1 species
UGAGGAAUAUUGGACAAUGGAUGGAGAUCUGAUCCAGCCAUGCCGCGUGCAGGAUGACGGCCCUAUGGGUCUUAAACUGCUUUUGUAUGGGAGCAAUAAGCUUUACGAGUAGAGUGAUGAGAGUACCAUACGAAUAAGCAUCGGCUAACUCCGUGCCAGCAGCCGCGGUAAUACGGAGGAUGCAAGCGUUAUCCGGAUUUAUUGGGUUUAAAGGGUGCGUAGGCGGUCUGGUAAGUCAGUGGUGAAAUCUUGGGGCUCAACCUCAAACGCGCCAUUGAUACUGUCGGACUGGAAUGGGGAUGCCGUUUGCGGAAUGUGUGGUGUAGCGGUGAAAUGCAUAGAUAUCACACAGAACACCGAUUGCGAAGGCAGCAGACGAAUCCUUGAUUGACGCUGAGGCACGAAAGUGUGGGGAUCAAACAGG